rnacentral:rRNA from 1 species
AGAGCGAACGCUGGCGGCAGGCCUAACACAUGCAAGUCGAGCGCUCCGCAAGGGGAGCGGCAGACGGGAGAGUAACACGUGGGAACGUACCCUUCAGUUCGGAACAACCCAGGGAAACUUGGGCUAAUACCGAAUACGUCCGUAAGGAGAAAGAUUUAUCGCUGAAGGAUCGGCCCGCGUCUGAUUAGCUUGUUGGUGAGGUAACGGCUC